GAUCUCAGAUCUUUGGUGAAAGGGAGAGAGGAGGGAUCUCCUCCUUAAAUAGAGCCGGAGGGAGCUCUUUUCCGACUCCGAUUGGGAGCCGGCGAGAGGAGGAAGAAGACUCCCUUCGGGAGUUCUUCUCCUCUGUUUUUCCUUUUUUUUUUUUUGGGCUUUGGUGGGCUGGGAUUCUUACUCGGGCCAGGCCAUCACACACAGAGCAUUCAAACGGCAUUUUCAGAUUUCUAUGCUUAGUUUUUAAGUUCUAAAGAAGAGAGAACAAUCAAAGCAAAAUGGGAGGCAUUGUAUCUA
rnacentral:lncRNA from 1 species